AGUGAACGCUGGCGGUAGGCCUAACACAUGCAAGUCGAACGGCAGCACAGUAAGAGCUUGCUCUUACGGGUGGCGAGUGGCGGACGGGUGAGGAAUACAUCGGAAUCUACUUUUUCGUGGGGGAUAACGUAGGGAAACUUACGCUAAUACCGCAUACGACCUACGGGUGAAAGCAGGGGAUCUUCGGACCUUGCGCGAUUGAAUGAGCCGAUGUCGGAUUAGCUAGUUGGCGGGGUAAAGGCCCACCAAGGCGACGAUCCGUAGCUGGUCUGAGAGGAUGAUCAGCCACACUGGAACUGAGACACGGUCAAGACUCCUACGGGAGGCAGCAGUGGGGAAUAUUGGACAAUGGGCGCAAGCCUGAUCCAGCCAUACCGCGUGGGUGAAGAAGGCCUUCGGGUUGUAAAGACCUUUUGUUGGGAAAGAAAAGCAGCAGGUUAAUACCCAGCUGUUCUGACGGUACCCAAAGAAUAAGCACCGGCUAACUUCGUG
rnacentral:rRNA from 1 species